AAAAAGACAAACCCUAGGUUUCCGUGUCCAACUUUAACUGUCCGUCUUAUAUAAAAUUUGUUUAUAAUUCGUAUUUUCAUUGUUAUUAGAUGAUAAAACAUAAUUAAUAUUUUAUGCAUGACUUGUCUUUUUAAUUUUUUUAUAAUUUUUUCAAAUAAGAUGAAUGGUUAAAUAUUGAUACGGAAAUUAGAGUUUGUCUUUUUU
rfam:Oryza nivara chromosome 2, whole genome shotgun sequence.